UUCCAUACCGGUAGCUAUCAUUUAAGUUGCACUGAUUCAUAUCGACAGUACCGUCAGCGGUUUUAGUAGCGCAACUAUCGCGCUCCCAAAUUUAAUCACCCACCAAUGGACCGAUGCACGAGUUCACUAAUUUGACGUUUGAGCGGUGCCGAAUUCACUGGUUGCUAUGGCCACAUAAAUAACACGGCACCGCUCAAACGUCAAAUAGUGAACUCGUGCACUGGUCCAUCGCGAUACUACUUUGGCAGCGCGCCUAGCGAGUAAAGUCGCGCACCGUUAAAGAUGCUCCAAUAACAAAUCCAUUUUCUGCUCGGUGAUCUAGCAGCCUGGGCCAAGCUCAAUUCAUCCACACCAAACAACCACGAAACGGGUUUCAUUAUUGGUUCCGAUAUCGAUGGUGGAACCGGUUGCUUCCGACUGGUGUAUUCCAGCAAAAAACUGCUGUCGCACUUCAGAACACUCGACAUACUGUCUGCUGAUUGUACAUUUAAGACUACCCUCCAGGGGUACCCACUAAUGGUUGUGUGCUUAGUGGACAAAAUGCGCCACGCGCACCCGGUGGCAUUUGCAACGAUCACCAAACAGGAAGAAGCCGACUACCACUUCGUUUUUGCUACCCUGCAGGAUCAAUGCACCCGUCUCGGUAUUCCCUGUUUGGUUCGGGCUUUUAUUAGCGAUGGAGAAAUCGCACUGAAAAAGGCCGCGAGAUCAGUCUUCGGUGAACAUCUGCUGUUGAUCAACUGCUACUUCCACGUAGUACAGAAUGUGAAGAAACAUC